UAGACUCAAGAGUUUUAAGAAUAGUUUAUUGUAGCUAAACUGGGGGGAAGAGUUAGC
rnacentral:tRNA from 1 species